rnacentral:rRNA from 1 species
AGUGAACGCUGGCGGUAGGCCUAACACAUGCAAGUCGAACGGCAGCACAGUAAGAGCUUGCUCUUACGGGUGGCGAGUGGCGGACGGGUGAGGAAUACAUCGGAAUCUACUUUUUCGUGGGGGAUAACGUAGGGAAACUUACGCUAAUACCGCAUACGACCUACGGGUGAAAGCAGGGGAUCUUCGGACCUUGCGCGAUCGAAUGAGCCGAUGUCGGAUUAGCUAGUUGGCGGGGUAAAGGCCCACCAAGGCGACGAUCCGUAGCUGGUCUGAGAGGAUGAUCAGCCACACUGGAACUGAGACACGGUCCAGACUCCUACGGGAGGCAGCAGUGGGGAAUAAUGGACAAUGGGCGCAAGCCUGAUCCAGCCAUACCGCGUGUGUGAAGAAGGUCUUCGGGUUGUAAAGCCCUUUUGUUGGGAAAGAAAAGCAGCAGGUUAAUACCCCGCUGUUCUGACGGUACCCAAAGAAUAAGCACCGGCUAACUUCGUG